rnacentral:rRNA from 1 species
GCAGUGGAAACUGGAUAGCUAGAGGUCGGUAGGGGCAGAGGGAAUUCCCAGUGUAGCGGUGAAAUGCGUAGAUAUUGGGAAGAACACCGGUGGCGAAAGCGCUCUGCUGGGCCGAACCUGACGCUGAGGGACGAAAGCUAGGGGAGCGAAUGGGAUUAGAUACCCCAGUAGUCCUAGCCGUAAACGAUGGAAACUAGGUGUGGCCUGUAUCGACCCGGGCCGUGCCGAAGCUAACAGCGUUAAGUUUCCCGCCUGGGGAGUACGCACGCAAGUGUGAAACUCAAAGGAAUUGACGGGGGCCCGCACAAGCGGUGGAGUAUGUGGUUUAAUUCGAUGCAACGCGAAGAACCUUACCAGGGCUUGACAUGCCGCGAAUCUUCCUGAAAGGGGAGAGUGCCUACGGGAGCGCG